UUGCUUUUUGGCACAAGAAAACAUAUCUGUGAAUUUGAUCCACCAUAAUCAGGACAUCUGGAUACUUUUAAAAGAGCCAGCGAUGAUUCAGAGCUUCUAAUAUACCAAUCCAAAAGCUUAUCUGGGAAUUACUUUGUUUAAACAGUAAACUCCACUGGUUUCUUUAAAAAAUAAGGUCAUACAUGUGUCAACUUUACAUUAGGGUUUUUCUAGACGUCAUUAUCCUCACUUGACCACACGAGGUUGCUGUUCUACUGGUGGAUACUUCACGUGUGACAGAGAGAAAUAAACCAACAGUCUGAAAUCAUGCUGACUGCUGAUUUGCUCACUUUGAAAUUACAGACUUGAACACUCAAAAGACAAACCUGUAAGAGUUUUUUUUAUUAUUUCUAUUUCUGGUGAAAGUGCUGAGAGAUGGGGAAGUGCUUCCUGCCAAAGUCAUGCUCACUUCAACUUCUCUUUUUUAGUGGUUUUGACUAAAGCUCCAGCAACUGGACAUCAUAGACGGAUCUGCCUCUUUGUGACUCUUUAUGAAUAAUGAAAACUUGCAGCAAAUCACCCAUCAUACUUCUGAAGCUGAUUUACAUCGCAUUACUCCCAGCACUUUUUGAGGCACAAGAAGUCAAAGUCAAGCCUGAAGUGACGGGAUACCUCGGGCAUGAUGUCACCCUGCCAUGCCAAUUCAUCCCAGGACCAGGAGGCGACAAUAUUACUCAGUUUCAGUGGAAUCUCGAAACACCAGAAGGAGAGAAAAUACUCAGUGUUUCUAGUGUUCAAUUUGGAGUUAAUGUUCAUGAAUCAUUUCUUAAGGAGAGAGUGGAGAUUACAGAACAAUCUUUGAUCAUUAGAAACGUGGAAAUGGGAGAUGCAGGGUCGUACACCUGCACAUUUUCAACCUUUCCCAGUGGUUCAUUUGAAGGAACGACCAAACUUGUUGUUCGAAAACAGAUGCCCUUAUCAUCAGGGGUGGUGUCUGCUAUAGUGAUUGCUGUCAUGUUGCUGUUAGUGAUCAUGGCAGCCAUAGUUUACCUUGUCUUCAUCAGAAGACGUCAUCCGACGGUCAGGCACCGUGUCUACAUUGAUACAGGUGGUCCAGUGAUGGAUGUGGCCAGGCCAUCUGUUCUUGUGAGAGACGAGGAUGUGGUCUACUCUGACGUCAAGCGCAAACCAUUCAGAGAUACUACACCUUCUUCCAAUGAGGAACACACAGUGGAUGAUGUCACGUACUCCGAGGUCGUAGUUUGGCGUCAGCAGCCCAAAUGUACUCUAAAGUGAUGAUAAAGUUCUCUUUCAUAUACUUGCUGAAGGCAAAAAAAACACUUCAAACUGCUGUAUGCAAGUUGCAUUUACCACAAUUUUGGUAUCAUUUAGUGAAAUCAGCAUAUCGACUGAGGAAAAAUCAGGAGUCCGCCAGGAUUCAUCCUCUGGGGACCAUGAAUGUGGGUAUAAAAUUUAAUCGCAAACCGUCUUGUAGUUGUGGUGCAGCUAUCACCACACGUUUGAUGCUAUUUGGUUUUAAAUAUUGCAGGUCAGAAUAGUACAAACCAGCACACCUACAACACGUCAUCAAGGUAAAAAAAAAAAUCUUUUACCUUGUCAUUCUGUGCAGUGGAAAAACACUCGCACCGUGACAACAUGGCUUGCGUGUUCACAGUAGAUCUCGUCACGCAAAGUUCCUAUUCCUCCUUCGCAGACCAUCAAAGGAGGAAGACAAAAAAAGGAAGACAAAAAAGGAAAAUGACACAAUCAAAAAGGGAACCAACUCAGCAAUGCAACACUAGUAUAGCGUGUUAAUGAUGUCAAGAGCUGAAGGUGCCAAUAGAGACUUUAACAGUUGCUCAAUAUCUGCAGUAAAUGUAACUUUCUAGACUCCCAUUUUAUUGUGAUUCAACCUCUUGCUUUAACCCAGCGUUUGCAUGCAAGCCUUUUUUUAGGGUUACAGGAUUUAUGAGUCAGAGAGGAAGGGUGGAGUUAUUGUGGUUUUACUUAAUAAUUUUUACUUGACUUUCCUAAUUCUGUCCAUUUGUUCAAACUUGCCUGCAGCAGCUUCAAAUAUCAAAAACAAUAAUUGCAUAUUAUGAUACAAUACUAUAUGUAUUCUAACAGCACAUAUACUGGUAAUAGUUGUUGUAGUAGUAUUUUACCCAAUCCAGUAUUGUCUGCUUUGGGUCUGUUGUGCAGAACAUUUCUCAAUCUCAGAAUCCUGUUCGCAGCUGUUGCAGUCUGAGCGUGACUUAUGUAAAAAAGGUGACAAAAUAUGGUUUGCAAAGUUGCUGUAAUGAUGCACACCAUCAGUGAACAUUACCAACUGUCACCGUCUGUUACCUGCUGGUGUUCAACAGCAUUUCCUGACACCCAGUUUGUGGGUGUGAGAUUAUAUCUGCGUAUGUACAGUCACUUUGUGUUGUCAGAACAUGGACAUUUUUUGUUGUAUAAAAAUGUUAACUUAAGGGCUCAUUUCAUUGUUCAUUUUCUGUUAAAUGUACCUGCAGACAAGCAAGUAGACAGUCAGAGCCGACAGACACACAGGACGUUUUGUAAGUGGCUUCUAUUGCUUAAUAAAUGUGUACCUUUUCACAGAUCUUAUCAAAUACAUGGUUUCUCAUUGUUGUCACAUACUUUAGAGUUCUGGUUUUGCAGGAAAUAGAUAAGAAACAUUGCUGUUUGAAGGGAGUGCAUUAUUAAAGUAUUUCCACAGCAGCCAUCAGAUUACUCAGACAUAAGAAGAAAAAUGCAGAUACGUGUCACUUUAGAACUAUAAAGAAUGGACGAGCCACACAUUAUUCAUGAGCUAUCUUGUUAAGAAGUUAAACUCUGAGAACAAACGAUACACAAGAAUGGACAUUGUGGAAGGGAUGAUGUGCAAAUUGGCAGUUUCUUGCAUUUAAAAAAAAGCAAUUUAAUCGAUUGUUCAAAACACUCACUCCAAGCCAUUUGUAGUUGUUUUGUGUCCCUUUGUACAACAAAGAAUUGUGGUCAUUUUGUGUCUCUGUGUUCACUUUGAGUCUUUUUGUGGUGCUUUGAGACUCUCUAUGGAUAUUUUGCAUCUUUGUGGUCAUAUUGUGUCUGUCUGUAGCCCUUUUGCGCCUCUCUGUGGACAUUGUGCGUAUCGCUGUGGCCAUUUUGCGUCUCCCUGUGGACGUUUUGAGUCUCUGUGGUUGUUUUGCGUGUCUUUAUGGUUGUUUUGAGUCUCAGAGGAUGCUUUGUGUCUCUUUACGGUCGUUUUGCAUCUCUGUGAUUGUUUUGCGUCUCUCUGGUUGUUUUACGUGUCUUUGUGGUCAAUUUGUGUCUCUGUGGAUGCAUUGCGUCUCUUUCUCGUCGUUUUGAUUCUCUCUGUGGUCGUUUUGGGUCUCUUUGUGGUUGUUUUGUGUGUCUUUGUGGUUGUUUUGAGUCUCUUUACGGUCGUUUUGCAUCUCUUUGCAGUCAUUUUGCAUCUCUUUGCAGUCAUUUUGCAUCUCUUUGCAGUCGUUUUGCAUCUUUGUGGCUCUUUUUCAUCCCUGUGUUUGUUUUGCGUCUCUCUGAUUGUUUUACGUCUCUCUGUGGUCGUUUUGCGUCGCUAUGUGGUAAAUUCGUGGUUGUUUUGCGUCUCUAAUUUGAUUGAAUUUCCAACAAGAAAUGUUAACAGUCACUUCUUCCAGAGACUCAGGUUCAGGGUCCCCGGGCCUGUACCUGGUAGUCCUGUUCAGUAAUCCGUCCGUAAUACUAAUAAACCACCUACCUCACCUUCCUACUUUAGUAUGGGGAGUAACAGAUUUGGCCAAGUCAUAUUCUUAUACAGACAGCAUUAAAUGUUUUCUGUUGUUAUGUUAAAGUGAGUGAGUGUGUGUGUGUUUGUCUCAGUUGUCCGUCAGAUGUGGUGGUUAAUCGCUGAAGUCUCCUUGAUGAUAACUUGAUAUAUGUAAAUGGUUAAAUUCUUGAAUAAAAUAAAUUGGAAAUGAGAGAUUUUGAUGGAACACUUAAUGGCACAAUGUUUUAAAAAUAUCUGCUAUAGUGAAAGUGUUUGUAAAGGAUUGUAGCUGUGAGUGUGUUGUGGAGAAGGGAUUUGAUUCUGCAUGUUUUGAUAAGCUCUAAAACAAUAGUGGUAGAGGAAGUAUUACUAUUGUUGCUGUUAUUGUGAACUGAACAAGAACUUACGUUUGCACCAUUGGAAGGUUAAAUGAAUUAGAUUAAAAUGUUUAAUUCAUAAGAAAUGUAUCUCGCAGACCUAAAUGUUUUAUAAAAGUUACAGUAAAAGCAUAUUGUUGAUGUUGCUUUACAUUACAAGUUUACCCUAGAUGUGACUACUCUUCCCUUUGCAUUAAGGUCUGAAUCUUAGUGAUGUCUUGCUUUCUUGUUUCACAUCAGACAGUGUAUCGCCACAGAAGACUUUCUAUGAAAGCUAAAGGAAAUGAACUCCCAUCCAUAAUUGAGCGUUAAGGAAACACCACCCUGAUAAAGGCAAGAUAGCUGAAAAUGUUUGACAUGGUCUCACGGACUGGUCUGCACCAGAGAGCUCGAGUGUGCAUUCUCAAAAUUAGCCAUAAGGAAACAUCAUAUUUUGUAAAUCCACCUUAUUUUAGAGACAUACAAGUCUAAUAUUAUCAAUUAACUCAACAACACAGGAGCGCUUCUAUGCACAUCAUCAUUUGGCCACAUGAGGUCACUGUGCUACUGGAGGUUAUUAAUGGCAAAACAUGAAGGAAUGAACCACAGGAAAUCAUGACGACUAGUGAAUUGCAGUUAUAAGACGAGAAAACACACAUAGGUCAGGGUUUAUUUUGUUGACCUGAAGAUGUGCGUAAUGAAAAUUUGCAGCAGAUGCCAUGUUCUUCUGUGGUUCAUUUACAUCACGAUCCCAGUUUUUGAGGCACAAGAAGUCAAAGUCUGGCCUGAAGUGACGGGAUACCUCGGGCAGGAUGUCACCCUGCCAUGCCAAUUCAUCCCAGGACCAAGAGGCGGCAAUAUUACUCAGAUUCUGUGGGAUCUCGAAACACCAGAAGGAGAGAAAAUACUCAUUAGUGUUUCUAGUGUUCAAUUUGGAGUUAAUGUUCAUGAAUCAUUUCUUAAGGAGAGAGUGGAGAUUGCAGAACAAUCUUUGAUCAUUAGAAACGUGGAAAUGGGAGAUGCAGGGUCGUACACCUGCACAUUUUCAACCUUUCCCAGUGGUUCAUUUGAAGGAACGACCAAACUUGUUGUUCGAGAAGCGCCAAAAGCGAUGCCGAUAUUACCAAGAAUGAUUGCUGCUGGAGUAUUCGUGCUGAUAGUUGUGACCAUGCUUGCCACAACUUACUUUAUCAUCAUCAGAAUAAGACGUGGCGCUUCGGUCAAGCAACGUGUCUGCACGGAUACAGACGGCACAGUGAUGUGUGAUUGAAAGCGAAGAGGGUCUACCCUGAAGACAAGCUCAAAUCAUCCAGAGAUGUUACACCUUCAUCCAAAAACGCUGCUUCUGAUGCUUCUGAUGUCACAUGCUUCAAAGUGAGAGAGAGAGAGAUGUGGACUAAAGUAAUAAUGAAUUCUGUCUUUUACUUUUAAAGUUGUUUUACUGUAAGUUGCAUUAACCACCAUUUUGGGAACAUUUAGUAAACCUGUCAUCACAUCCUGAUAUAAGUCAAUCAACUGCUCCUUAAAAAAUAAUAAGGCCCAUGUUAUUCUAUAUUUUUCUUAUUGUCAACAAAUCCCAUCAAAGGACCAAAAGCAAUAAGGUGUUUUUUUUUAAGCAAAUGUUACUCAAACAUGAAUAAAUGCUGCAUUUGUUGGUAAAGUAUUUUCAGCUGCGGAUUAAUACACGUUAUUUACAGUAACAUGUCUAUGUGAGUGAGAUUGACUCAAAAUAGACAAUGCCAGUGUUCAUUAUAAUGUAACAGUGUGGUUCAUAUCUGUCUUUAUUAGUUUUUGGACAACAAUAGAUCAAUGUUGUUUUUGGUCUUUUCAUGAGAUUUGAUGACAAUAACAAAAAUGUAGAAUAUUUUCACCUUUAAUCUUAAAA